AGAGCGAACGCUGGCGGCAGGCCUAACACAUGCAAGUCGAGCGCCCGUAGCAAUACGGGAGCGGCAGACGGGAUAGUAACACGUGGGAACGCGCCCUUCGGUUCGGAAUAACUCAGGGAAACUUGAGCUAAUACCGAAUACGCCCUUACGGGGAAAGAUUUAUUGCCGAAGGAACGGCCCGCGUCCGAUUAGCUAGUUGGUGAGGUAAUGGCUCACCAAGGCUACGAUCGGUAGCUGGUCUGAGAGGAUGACCAGCAUCACUGGGACUGAGACACGGCCCAGACUCCUACGGGAGGCAGCAGUGGGGAAUAUGGACAAUGGGCGCAAGCCUGAUCCAGCCAUGCCGCGUGGAUGAUGAAGGCCUUAGGGUUGUAAAGUCCGUUUUAACGGGGAAGAUAAUGACGGUACCCGUAGAAUAAGCCCCGGCUAACUUCGCGCCAGCAGCCGC
rnacentral:rRNA from 1 species